rnacentral:rRNA from 1 species
GAUGAACGCUGGCGGCGUGCUUGAUACAUGCAAGUCGAACGGAGAGUGUAGCAAUAUACUUUUAGUGGCGAACGGGUGAGUAACGCGUUGGUGACCUGCCCCGAAGCGAGGGAUAACAGUUCGAAAGAACUGCUAAUACCUCAUGUGAUCACCGGUUUUAGAAUCUGGUGAUUAAAGGUGAAAAUCACUUCGGGAGGGGCCUGCGUCCCAUCAGCUAGUUGGUAAGGUAAUGGCUUACCAAGGCGAUGACGGGUAGGGGACCUGAGAGGGUGGCCCCCCACAAUGGAACUGAAACACGGUCCAUACACCUACGGGUGGCAGCAGUAGGGAAUAUUGGGCAAUGGGCGAAAGCCUGACCCAGCCAUGCCGCGUGAAGGAAGACGGCCUUAUGGGUUGUAAACUUCUUUACUACGCGAAUAGAGGUUAGUACGAGAUACUAAUAGGAAGGUAGUGUAGUAAAAAGCACCGGCUAACUCCGUG